AUUGAACGCUGGCGGCAUGCUUUACACAUGCAAGUCGAACGGUAACAGGUUAAGCUGACGAGUGGCGAACGGGUGAGUAAUGCAUCGGAACGUGCCCGAUCGUGGGGGAUAACGCAGCGAAAGCUGCGCUAAUACCGCAUACGAUCUGAGGAUGAAAGCGGGGGACCGUAAGGCCUCGCGCGAUCGGAGCGGCCGAUGUCAGAUUAGGUAGUUGGUGGGGUAAAGGCCCACCAAGCCGACGAUCUGUAGCUGGUCUGAGAGGACGACCAGCCACACUGGGACUGGGACACGGCCCAGACUCCUACGGGAGGCAGCAGUGGGGAAUUUUGGACAAUGGGCGAAAGCCUGAUCCAGCAAUGCCGCGUGCAGGAAGAAGGCCUUCGGGUUGUAAACUGCUUUUGUACGGAGCGAAAAGGCCCUUUCUAAUACAGGGGGCUCAUGACGGUACCGUAAGAAUAAGCACCGGCUAACUACGUGCCAGCCGCCGCGGUAA
rnacentral:rRNA from 1 species